UUAAAAAUGCAAUGUAAGUCGCUUUGGAUAAAAGCGUGUGCUAAAUGACCUGUA
rfam:Gasterosteus aculeatus cont1.002665, whole genome shotgun sequence.